ensembl:lncRNA
UUUUUUACUCACCAUCCAGAAGCUGCGGCGGUUGACGUCCUCUGGGCCAUUCUCAGGCGGGGGAGUGGACAUGGUGGACACUGCAAGGGGAGACAACAAGAGACAGAGACUGUCAUAGAGGCGAAGCGGAAGAAGCCGGGGAGGAAAAAGGAGGAGUUAAGCUUGCAGUGCCGCCACCGAAGGCGUCCAAGUUUCACAGAUGAAUGUUUGAGAUUCUCAACAGGAGGGCGGCAGUCAACAAGAUCGGUGAAUUUGUAUUCGUUUCAAAAUGGUGACCUGUUUAAAGUAUGACAAAUGUGUGCAUGUUUCUGUAAUGUAAGAUGUUGGCAUUUUAGUGUAUCGUUAGUAGCUCAUUGUGGGCUCAGCUAAAUGUGAUUGUGCUAACAACUGUGUCAAGUUGGACUUUGUAUUUUAUGUGGUGUGGAAGUUGGCUUUUUGCUGUGUAUAUACACAUGUUGCUGUAAGACACAUAAUUCUGUGCAAAAUAAAUUACUUUAAAAUUAUGUCGUUGCUUUGUAAUGUAUGGGGAGAUGGGACAUGUUUUUAAGGGUUUUAAUUUGCCACAAAGUGUAUGAUUUCCCAAGUGGUUGGUUUGCGUCCAAUUCUGUAAGGCAUGCAAAACUUGAGACAAAAAUCUAAAUUCCAAGGCAUCACUUUUGUACUGUAUUCUGUGCCUUGAAGAAUGUGUUUGUAGACUAGAUAUUGCUGUCAUGUUACUCAACAGCUAUGCACUUGAGACAAAGCGUUCAAAGUAUGCAUGGGCAUUUGGGGAAAUGUGUCCUUAUUAGCCUUGUGGUUAGUUUAGAAAGUUCCAUUUUAAGAGGGGCAAAAUUGAUUGGACUAUUGGGUAUAAAUAAAUUCCAUUCUUCCAGAAAUACUACAUGGUUUCAUUGAUUCACAUUGAACCACGUGAGUUGCGCAUGGCUUCCAAAGUUAUAAUGAAUAUAACCACAUGAUUGGAUGGCUCAAGUCACAAAUACUGAGGUCACGGUAGUGUGAAGAUUAAUAGUCAAACAUAACCUUUGCAGGGACAACAGCAGGCUUAAUCUAUGUGACCAAGUGAGUGGGGUUGGUAAAGAAAUGUCCUUAGGUGUGUGUGGUCCCCCACACAAGUUUCUUCCUGGUAUUCAAGUCUGGCAGGUCAACUACAAGGUGAUCAAAUCUGUAAUGUGUAAACUAACUAGGCUAGAUGUGCAUAUGAUUUCAAAGAGCCCUUGGGGACUACUGUUUGAGAUCACUGUGGUCAAUUAAACUAUACUUGUAAUAUAACAUUAACAAACCAGAAAAUCAGUUAUUUACUAGUUGAGUACACAGUAUUGCAACUCCCGAAGUGAAAUGAUGGGUUCCCUGGGGGGUGGGGGAG